rnacentral:rRNA from 1 species
CGGUAGAACGACGACGACGGCGACGGACCGUACCACACAGCGAACGAGGUACGGGACGGACGCGACGUGGCGUAGCGAUACGCGUGAGUGGCGACCGGCGCACGGGUGCGUAACGCGUAUGCAACCUGUCCGGCGCGAGGGGGUAGCCCGUCGAAAGGCGGGGUAAUCCCGCAUGAACCGGUAUUCCCGCAUGGGGGUGCCGGCAAAGUGGAGACGCGGGGCCGGAGGGGGCAUGCGUGCCAUUAGCUGGCUGGUGGGGUAACGGCCCACCAGGGCGAUGAUGGCUAGGGGGUCUGAGAGGAAGGCCCCCCACACUGGGACUGAGACACGGCCCAGACUCCUACGGGAGGCAGCAGUGAGGAAUAUUGGACAAUGGAUGGAAAUCUGAUCCAGCCAUGCCGCGUGCAGGAAGACAGCCCUAUGGGUUGUAAACUGCUUUUAUAUGGGAGCAAUAAGGUCUACGUGUAGACUGAUGAGAGUACCAUAUGAAUAAGCAUCGGCUAACUCCGUG